rnacentral:rRNA from 1 species
GAUGAACGCUAGCGGCAGGCCUAACACAUGCAAGUCGAGGGAGAAGCCCUUCGGGGCAGAAACCGGCGCACGGGUGCGUAACGCGUAUGCAACCUACCUUUCACAGGGGGAUAGCCCGAAGAAAUUUGGAUUAAUACCCCAUAAUAUUAUUGGAUGGCAUCAUUUGAUAAUUAAAAUUACGAUGGUGAAAGAUGGGCAUGCGUCCUAUUAGCUAGUUGGAGUGGUAACGGCACCCCAAGGCUACGAUAGGUAGGGGUCCUGAGAGGGAGAUCCCCCACACUGGUACUGAGACAGGGACCAGACUCCUACGGGAGGCAGCAGUGAGGAAUAUUGGUCAAUGGUCGGAAGACUGAACCAGCCAUGCCGCGUGCAGGAAGAAUGCCUUAUGGGUUGUAAACUGCUUUUAUAUGGGAAGAAUAAGGAGUACGUGUACUUUGAUGACGGUACCAUAUGAUAG